rnacentral:rRNA from 1 species
GCGCGUAGGUGGUUUGUUAAGUUGGAUGUGAAAGCCCUGGGCUCAACCUAGGAACUGCAUCCAAAACUAACUCACUAGAGUACGAUAGAGGGAGGUAGAAUUCAUAGUGUAGCGGUGGAAUGCGUAGAUAUUAUGAAGAAUACCAGUGGCGAAGGCGGCCUCCUGGAUCUGUACUGACACUGAGGUGCGAAAGCGUGGGUAGCGAACAGGAUUAGAUACCCUGGUAGUCCACGCCGUAAACGAUGACAACUAGCUGUUGGGAGACAAUGUCUUUCAGUGGCGCAGCUAACGUUUUAAGUUGUCCGCCUGGGGAGUACGGCCGCAAGGCUAAAACUCAAAUGAAUUGACGGGGACCCGCACAAGCGGUGGAGCAUGUGGUUUAAUUCGAUGCAACGCGAAAAACCUUACCUACUCUUGACAUACUUGGGAGCUCUUGUAAUGAGAGUGUGCCUUAUGGAACCAAGAUACAGGUGCUGCAUGGCUGUCGUCAGCUCGUGUCGUGAGAUGUUCCGUUAAGUCGGAUAACGAGCGCAACCCUUACCCUUAUUUGCCAGCGAUUCGGUCGGGAACUAUAAGGGGACUGCCGGUGAUAAACCGGAGGAAGGUGAGGACGACGUCUAGUCAUCAUGGCCCUUACGAGUAGGGCUACACACGUUGCUA